ensembl:lncRNA
GCAUAAUGACAUCAACCUACAGACUAGGUUACCAAGUAAACCAGGCUGACCUCAAGCUUUUCCUUCUCCUUCCCGGUCAUUCACUGAUGGGAUACAUGUAUGUCCUACCAUGCUUACCUUGAGAGUAUUUUGUCAAGUUUUGCUCCUAUAUUUUCUGAUAUUAGUCUGCCCGUUGUUUUCUUUGUUCAGCGUUUUGUUUGCUCUUUCUCUCAUGUCUACUGGCCACACAGAAUGACUUGGAAGUGGACACUCACUGCUUACUUUUUUGAGAGGAGGAAAGCAAAUGUGUGUACAAACUCGAGUCUUAACCAGUCAGUGGCAGGAGGACUGGGAGAGUCUCCAUCUCCAAUCCAGGACCUCUAUGAUGUCGGUUUGCUGUUACCAAACACACAGGCACAUGGCAUCAUGGAUCUGGUAAGCUGGUAAGAGUGUUCAGUCUCUCUCAGCUAGAACAACAAGGUGAACAUAAUCCCUGCUUCUGUAAGAAUCCUGAAUAUAGGAUUUUCAACUGUAACUACUCCAGCUUCUAUUUCUCAAGGAUUGAAAUCAAUCAACAGAACAGUAGACAG